rnacentral:pre_miRNA from 1 species
AGGACAGUGGUCGGCAAACCAAGGCUCGCAAGCCACAUGCGGCUCGCGAGCCGCGGUUUGCCGCUCUGUUGA